rnacentral:rRNA from 1 species
UGGGGAAUAUUGGACAAUGGGCGAAAGCCUGAUCCAGCCAUGCCGCGUGUGUGAAGAAGGUCUUCGGAUUGUAAAGCACUUUAAGUUGGGAGGAAGGGCAGUAAGUUAAUACCUUGCUGUUUUGACGUUACCGACAGAAUAAGCACCGGCUAACUCUGUGCCAGCAGCCGCGGUAAUACAGAGGGUGCAAGCGUUAAUCGGAAUUACUGGGCGUAAAGCGCGCGUAGGUGGUUUGUUAAGUUGGAUGUGAAAGCCCCGGGCUCAACCUGGGAACUGCAUCCAAAACUGGCAAGCUAGAGUACGGUAGAGGGUGGUGGAAUUUCCUGUGUAGCGGUGAAAUGCGUAGAUAUAGGAAGGAACACCAGUGGCGAAGGCGACCACCUGGACUGAUACUGACACUGAGGUGCGAAAGCGUGGGGAGCAAACGGGAUUAGAUACCCAUGUAGUCCCUGAGCGGGCUGGCAAGGCGCAU